UACAGAGGUCUCAAGCGUUGUUCGGAUUCAUUGGGCGUAAAGGGUGCGUAGGUGGCGCUGUAAGUCGGGUGUGAAAUUUCGGAGCUUAACUCCGAAACUGCAUUCGAUACUGCGGUGCUUGAGGACUGGAGAGGGAGACGUAGGUAAAUUCGUGGUGAGCAGUGAAAUGCGUAGAGAUCAUGAGGAAGACCAGUGGCGAAGGCGGGUCUCUGGACAGUUCCUGACACUGAGGCACGAAGGCCAGGGGAGCAAACGGG
rnacentral:rRNA from 1 species